rnacentral:rRNA from 1 species
GGCUCAGGAUGAACGCUGGCGGCGUGCUUAACACAUGCAAGUCGAACGAGGAUUUAACGGAAUGCGAUUCGUCAAAUGAAAUUAAAUCCGAGUGGCGGACGGGUGAGUAACGCGUGGAUAACCUGCCUCACACAGGGGGACAACAGUUGGAAACGACUGCUAAUACCGCAUAACACAAGUAAUUCGCAUGAAUAACUUGCCAAAGAUUAUAUCGGUGUGAGAUGGAUCCGCGUCUGAUUAGCCAGUUGGCGGGGUAACGGCCCACCAAAGCGACGAUCAGUAGCCGACCUGAGAGGGUGACCGGCCACAUUGGGACUGAGACACGGCCCAAACUCCUACGGGAGGCAGCAGUGGGGAAUAUUGCACAAUGGGCGCAAGCCUGAUGCAGCGACGCCGCGUGAAGGAUGAAGUAUUUCGGUAUGUAAACUUCUAUCAGCAGGGAAGAAAAUGACGGUACCUGACUAAGAAGCCCCGGCUAACUACGUG